rnacentral:rRNA from 1 species
UGCUAUCUCGUUAGAGAGCGGCGGACGGGUGAGUAAUGCCUAGGAAUCUGCCUGGUAGUGGGGGAUAACGUUCGGAAACGGACGCUAAUACCGCAUACGUCCUACGGGAGAAAGCAGGGGACCUUCGGGCCUUGCGCUAUCAGAUGAGCCUAGGUCGGAUUAGCUAGUUGGUGAGGUAAUGGCUCACCAAGGCGACGAUCCGUAACUGGUCUGAGAGGAUGAUCAGUCACACUGGAACUGAGACACGGUCCAGACUCCUACGGGAGGCAGCAGUGGGGAAUAUUGGACAAUGGGCGAAAGCCUGAUCCAGCCAUGCCGCGUGUGUGAAGAAGGUCUUCGGAUUGUAAAGCACUUUAAGUUGGGAGGAAGGGUUGUAGAUUAAUACUCUGCAAUUUUGACGUUACCGACAGAAUAAGCACCGGCUAACUCUGUGCCAGCAGCCGCGGUAAUACAGAGGGUGCAAGCGUUAAUCGGAAUUACUGGGCGUAAAGCGCGCGUAGGUGGUUUGUUAAGUUGGAUGUG